rnacentral:misc_RNA from 1 species
GGUAUGAAAAUGGGAAACUGUUGAAAAAGAAAAAUACUUUUACAGAUUUCAUUGCUUGUGCAGAAUAUUUAAUAGACAAGAAGUACUGUUCCAAGGAAAAGCUUUGUAUCAACGGAAGAAGUGCAGGUGGAUUGCUGAUCGGUGCUGUUAUUAACAUGCGUCCUAAUUUGUUCAAAGCCGCUGUUGCUGGGGUUCCUUUUGUAGAUGUUGUAACUACAAUGCUUGAUCCAACUAUUCCUUUAACAACUUCAGAGUGGGAGGAAUGGGGUGAUCCACGUCAGGAAGAAUUCUAUUCCUACAUGAAGUCGUAUUCCCCUGUUGAUAAUGUCAAAGCACAGAAUUAUCCAGACAUUCUUGUUACAGCUGGCUUGAAUGAUCCACGUGUUAUGUACUCUGAGCCUGCAAAGUUUGUGGCCAAGUUGAGAGAAAUGAAGACGAAUGAUAAUUUACUCUUGUUCAAAUGUGAAAUGGGUGCAGGACAUUUUUCAAAAUCUGGAAGAUUUGAGAAGCUCCAGGAGGAUGCCUUCACCUACACUUUCAUACUCAAAGCUCUCAACAUGCUAGGCUCUGAGCAACAAUGAUAAAAUCAUGUUGAUAUAUUCCAAUUUUCUCAACAAUUCUUAACAUGAACUAUUGUCUUAUUUAUGGUUCAAAACCUGAUCUUUGUACUCAUUUUAUUGACUUUGAUUGGCUUCUACUAUUUUGUUGAACACACGCUUUUAUUGAUCAGUUU